UACCAGCACCCCGAGUGGUCGGGACGAUUAUUGGGCCUAAAGCAUCCGUAGCCGGUCCUACAAGUCUUCCGUUAAAUCCACCUGCUUAACAGAUGGGCUGCGGAAGAUACUAUAGGGCUAGGAGGCGGGAGAGGCAAGCGGUACUCAGUGGGUAGGGGUAAAAUCCUCUGAUCCAUUGAAGACCACCAGUGGCGAAGGCGGCUUGCCAGAACGCGCUCGACGGUGAGGGAUGAAAGCUGGGGGAGCAAACCGA
rnacentral:rRNA from 1 species